GUGAAUCAUCGAAUUUUUGAACGCAAAUUGCACUCUCUUCGGAGAGUAUGCCUGUUUGAGGGUCAGCCUAAAAAAAAUCGACAUUGUUGCUGUUAUUUAAUGGUGACUUUCGUCGGAGAUUGGGUUAUCUUAAACCUUUUUUUUUUUGUUUAAACGACUUAAAAUUUUUUUUCACGGAUUCAUUAACGGUUCUAAGAUUUUUUUUUUUUAUUCGGUUU
rnacentral:misc_RNA from 1 species